CAAAAUUUGUUUAAUAAAGUUUAACAGACAAAGUUACAAAACAUUUGUAAAUAACAAACAUUUUAGAAAAUACUUAAAAAAAAUCUGAAAAAAAUAUUUAUAACAUUUUUGAAACCGACAAAAAGGUAAACAGUGAUUUACUUCAUCAAAUCUGAUAUAAUCGAAUAAAAUGCUUUAAUAGCGUUAUUGUCGCCAAGCUUAAGUACCAUUACAAACAGGUAAUGAAAGUGACCAACCAUUAUUGUUCUAAGUAAGUUUAAUAAAAUUUUGCAUUUUUUGAAAAUACUUGCGUAUUGGUAAAUAAACAAAUUAAAUGAAAUUCAAUAGAAUAAAAAAAUAAUAAAAAUACCAUUAGUAAAGAAAUUUGUUUUUCAUAAUCUUUUACAAACAUUAUAAUCUAUUGGAACUGGAAAUUGCUUUUCUUCUUCUUGCUGAGUCAAACAAUAAGAAGCGGCCCACAUUGAAUGAAAGAUAUGAAAAACUGAAGAUUAACUAAACAAUCAACUUUUAACCACAUUUUUGGUUUCAGUUUUUUUUUUUUUUUGCUAUCUUUGUAUCUUUAUUAUUGUUAUUGUUGUUAUAAAAUAAAUUUUACAGGUUUUACAGAUGAAUGUAUUUGGUUUUUGUUUAUCUUUCGAGUUAGUUGCAGUUUCGUUUUUUAUAUGUUUUUCUAACUGAAUUGUGAUGACUGCACCUGUUUUUGGUGCUGAAAAAAUAAAAAAAAAACUAGAAGGAAGAUUGAAAAAACAUAAAAUUGCUAGAAAAAUAUUAUUAUUUCUUUAGCUGUUUAAAGCCAAACUACAUUUUUGAGAAAUUUAAUUUGUUUGAUAUUUUCUUGCAUCAACUUUACUCUACAUUACAUCAAGAGGUAAAGUGAAAUUAUUUAUCUAAAAAGUAAAAUUAUCGGAAUGAAAUAGAUUUUUGUAUGAAAAAGUCUAGAAUAUAUUUGAAUGUAAAAUAACUAAAUAAUUUAAUAACAAAAUUCUUUAAAAAACUUUGUGUUUAAUCCAUAGCUUUCAAGAAAACUUCAUCAUCAUCACAUAGCUCCAGAUUAAUUUCUUUUAGGGUAUUUAAUAAUCUUAAUAACCCAAUAGUAACAAAAUUUUUUCACAAUUUUAUUUUCAAUUUCUCACUAACGCCAACGUAAAUACUAAAAUUUUCUAUUUUAUAUUCUUCUGUUUUAUUUUGAUAUUUUUCCUUUUUAUUCAUUUAAACAUACUACAAGAAAAGGCUUUUCAUAGUGGGUUUUAAAAGUAUAUUCUUUUAAAAAUUUCUUUCAUAUUUUUCAGUUUAUGUUAUAUGAAAAAUUAAGACAUGUUAUUAACUUUAGCUUGGCGCCUCUUUUUUUUCAAAAUAAAAUAUUUGUGUUCUUUUUAUUGUGAUGUUUACUUUUGCAUUUUGUUUAUGGAGGCGUUAUUUUGAUAGCGGAUUUAUUUAAACCAAUAAAAAUUUUUACAAGUAUUUUAUCUUCAAUUCUGUUUAAAAACGAUAACUUUAUUAUGCUUAUGAUAUAAUUUAUAUUAUCAUUAUAUAGAGUCUUUCCUUUUUUAAAAUUUAUACGAUAUCAUACUGAAGAACGCAAUAUGUAUUAGCCGAAGUUUUACACUAAAUAGUAACUCUUUCGGAAUGCAUUAAAAGUACUGGACCUCAGAGCAAACAAUAUUUUCCAAAACUGGAAAAAUGUUCCUGUUGCCGUCCUUGUAAAAUUAUACGAUGAUCUAAACUAGGCCUGUUUGUUGAAGUCACGAAAUAUUCAUCAUUGUUUUCUCAAAAUCCUUUAGAAAUAUGAUAGUCAUAUAUAUUUAAAUGUGAUGAAUUAAAGCACAAGUUUCUUUUAAAUAUACAAAAACUGUUCUGAAGUAUCUCCGAUUAUAACCUAUGGAUCCAUAAAAGGGUCCCUUUAGAAAAUAAAUUUAACGCUCACAUCGCUACUCUCUCUACAUAAUUCUACAAGCGUUGCAU